UGGGAUGUGUAUCAGUGGUAGAGCACUUGCCUGGCCUGCAUGAGGCCCUGGGUUCAAUCCCCAGCACCAA
rnacentral:tRNA from 1 species